UUGGAUUUGUCAAACAACCAAUUGUCAAGAAAAAUCCCGACAAGCACUCAACUACAAAGUUUCAAUGCUUCUGCAUAUACCAUGAACCAUGGACUCUAUGGGCCUCCUCUAACCGAUCGGCAUGAAAGUGGAACUUCACCAGAUGGUUUUUUGGCUUCAACUCAUGAUCAAGAAGAUGAAACAUGGUUUAACUUGUCGUGGUUUUAUAAAGGGAUUGGGGUUGGAUUCACUAUUGGAUUUUGUGGAGUCUGUAUCAAUUUUUUGAUAAUAAACUAUUAUUGGAGAAAUUCUUACUUUAUGUUCAUGCAUAGCGUAAGAAAUAUUCUAUCAAAGGGAUUGUUGAGGAGAAAGCUAGCUUGGAUUGACAGAUCCCUCAGUUGAUGAAGAUCAGACUUAGUAGCUGCAAGGAUUCUUAAGAGUUCAAAGUUAGAAAGCCAAAGAAUCGGUCAAGCAUGGAGCAUUUGAAUAAUCUGUAUUAUGAAGAGUCCUACUUUUUCAAUCCUUGUUUUUAGUAGCUGAUGCUUUUGACUAUAUAUGUAUUGUGAAAUAAGUUUGUAAACUUUGGUUUUAAUUAAAUAUUUCCAGUAAACUGUUUUCAUUGUCAUGUUUUAAGAAAAAUAAAAUUAAUUAAAUCAAUAUAUCUAGCUUUUUCCCGUGA